UCCAAAGUGUUCAAAAUUAAAUAAAUAAAUAGGUCAUGAUGAAAUAAAUAACUAUGUGAAUAAAUAAGACACAGGUAUGUAAUGUGAGAAUGAUAUUGUGAAAUAAUGGAACACAUUUUGAAAAAAAUGCUCAUUAUUGUGAAAUAUAUUACAUUCUGCUAUAUAAAUUUAAUUAUUAUUGUGAAAUAUUAUUUCAUGGUCAUUAUUUUUCACAAUAACAGAGAUUAUUCCUGAGCCAUUUUAUUUAUUUCCAGCCGUUUUUAUUCCAAAAUGACCUUUUUUCAAAGUCAGUCUUUAUUUCAAAAUCCCGUUUUUCCCAAUGGCCUAUUUAUUUAAUAAUGCGACUUUUCAGCAGAAUGACUUUGUCUGUCAAUCAAGAGAGACAGGGCGGAGCCAGUUGUGUGAUUGGUUGCUCCUUUACUCAGACAUAAGUAAUAGCACAUGAAGUGUCGAUUUAGGUUUAACGGUGCAAUGCGUCUCCUAUGCAGCCAGCGGCAGUAUGCAGCUCAAAAUAAAGUUAAGGCACCGACAAAUGCAAAACACUGGGCGCGAAUAACGUUACAGGUGUAUCAAUUCUUGUGAAGGAUAUGGCUGCAGGAGACUAGUCCGUUUCUGAGUUACUCAGAGAACUUGCUAACCGCUUAGAUUGUACGUCUUCACCUCAGUUUGAGAGAGUAUUGCAGCAGCGUACUGGAGAUGAAGCGGUCUCUGGUCCAAGUUCUCAUCACAACCGCACAGUGUUAACGUUAUCACAGCUAGCUCCACUCCAUGAAACGCUGUUCAGGGUAAGUAACAAUAUGUUAUUACUGCUCAGUUAGUCUGUCUGUCUGCCAAAAAUGAGCUUUUUAAUCAGUUCAGUCACAGAUUUUUUUAAUACUGUUUUUAUCAUAGCAAAGAACUCAAUAAAUUAGGUAAGAGAAAAUAAUUGUCUUCUGGGUUAAUGUCUGUAUUACUAUUUACAUUGUUGUAGGUAAUAGUUAUUCAUGACUGUUUUAAAGUGGCUUAUCUUCUCUGCUAAUAUGGAAGACAAGUAAUCUAUGUGAAAGAAAAGAAAGCAAUUUUAGUUCAACGUAGUGAUUUUGUAAGUGGGUAUAAUUUGAAAAUGCUUUUACUAGUACAGUGGAUGUUCUUUAAAUAUUUAACAUUUAAAGUGUGUGUCACUUUACGGAAGCCAACUUCAGUUUUGGUUUGGUCUCACUGUUGUAGGUCAUAACACAAACAAGUCAAGUCAAGCAGCUGAGGAAAGGGCUUAAGGAGACCAUGGUAUGGCCGCUUCUGACAGAAAGAUCAGACAUCAUUCCUCUUUUCUUACCAAGGGAAUCAGAGACUGCUCCCUGUUGUGAGAUGCUCUUAAGACUACAAGUAAAGCUAUAAAAUGACUGUGGCCUGCCACAGAAGAUGAAGAUGAGGAAGAAGAGGAAUGCUCUCGAGGAUAAAUGCAGAGUGGCAGGUUACCUUCGGUCCUUCAUUGAAAAUGCAUCUUGUGCACAAUGAAAAGCCCUCAUCAAGUUUUGGACAGGAUGGGAAGUCUUGCCGAGAGAAAUGACUGUGGAAGUGGUCAACAGCAGUCUUCCAAAGACUUCCACCUGUUUUCACGUACUACGUCUUCCUGCACACUAC